UCCAGACUCCUACGGGAGGCAGCAGUCGAGAAUCAUUCACAAUGGGGGGAACCCUGAUGCAGCGACGCCGCGUGAGUGAAGAAGUAUUUCGGUAUGUAAAGCUCUCUCAGCAGGGAAGAAAAUGACGGUACCUGACUAAGAAGCCCCGGCUAAAUACGUGCCAGCAGCCGCGGUAAUACGUAUGGGGCAAGCGUUAUCCGGAUUUACUGGGUGUAAAGGGAGCGCAGGCGGCUUGGCAAGUCUGAUGUGAAAGGCUGGGGCUCAACCCCAGGACUGCAUUGGAAACUGUUAGGCUGGAGUGUCGGAGAGGUAAGCGGAAUUCCUGGUGUAGCGGUGAAAUGCGUAGAUAUUAGGAGGAACACCAGUGGCGAAGGCGGCUUACUGGACUGUAACUGACGUUGAGGCUCGAAAGCGUGGGGAGCAAACAGGAUUAGAUACCCUGGUAC
rnacentral:rRNA from 1 species